GGCCUGUUAGCUUAGUUGGUUAGAGUGUGGUGCUAAUAACACCAAGGUCAUGGGUUUGAUCCCCAUAUGGGCCA